AUUGAACGCUGGCGGCAGGCCUAACACAUGCAAGUCGAACGAGUGGCGGACGGGUGAGUAAUGUCUGGGAAACUGCCUGAUGGCGGGGGAUAACUACUGGAAACGGUAGCUAAUACCGCAUACCAUCAGAUGUGCCCAGAUGGGACUAGCUUGUUGGUGGGGUAACGGCUCAGCAAGGCGACGAUCACUAACUGGUCUGAGAGGAUGACCAGACACACUGGAACUGAGACACGGUCCAGAAUCCUACGUGAGGCAGCAGUGGGGAAUAUGGCACAAUGGGCGCAAGCCGGAUGGAGCCAUGCCGCGUGGAUGAAGAAGGCCUUCGGGUUGGAAAGUACUUUCAGCGGGGAGGCGUUACCCGCAGAAGAAGCACCGGCUAACUCCGUGCCAGCAGCCGCGGUAAUUC
rnacentral:rRNA from 1 species